UGCUAUUGAUCAUUCGCAAAUCAGUUCACCGAGAGUGCAAGAUUUCUCAAGAGGGAUUAAUUUUGAGAAACAUUCCCUUGACAGCGACAUAAUAAUUACUCCUUCUUCAAGAUUGUCAGUUAGCUCACUGAUAGAUAGUAGAUUUAUUAGAAUUUUUAACCCCUGAUGCUAGUGGAAUGUCUGGCAUUCCUGAAGGAUGUGCUAUUGAUCAUUCGCAAAUCAGUUCACCGAGAGUGCAAGAUUUCUCAAGAGGGAUUAAUUUUGAGAAACAUUCCCUUGACAGCGACAUAAUAAUUACUCCUUCUUCAAGAUUGUCA